rnacentral:rRNA from 1 species
CAGCAGCCGCGGGAAUACGGAGGGUGCAAGCGUUACUCGGAAUCACUGGGCGUAAAGGACGCGUAGGCGGAUUAUCAAGUCUCUUGUGAAAUCUAACGGCUUAACCGUUAAACUGCUUGGGAAACUGAUAAUCUAGAGUAAGGGAGAGGCAGAUGGAAUUCUUGGUGUAGGGGUAAAAUCCGUAGAGAUCAAGAAGAAUACCCAUUGCGAAAGCGAUCUGCUGGAACUUAACUGACGCUAAUGCGUGAAAGCCAGGGGAGCGAACGGGAUUAGAUACCCCCGUAGUCCCUGUCUCUUAUAC